UACGGGGGGUGCAAGCGUUUUUCGGAAUUAUUGGGCGUAAAGAGCGUGUAGGCGGCUUGAUAAGUCAGAUGUGAAAGCCCUGGGCUUAACCCAGGAAGUGCAUUUGAAACUGUCUCGCUCGAGUAUGGAAGGGGGAAGUGGAAUUCCUGGUGUAGAGGUGGAAUUCGUAGAUAUCAGGAGGAACACCGGUGGCGAAGGCGACUUCCUGGUCCAAUACUGACGCUGAGACGCGAGAGCGUGGGUAGCAAACAGG
rnacentral:rRNA from 1 species